rnacentral:lncRNA from 1 species
UUUCUUUGAGUGUUAUAAAUUCCCUGUAGGGCAGUGGUUUGAGACUAUGGGCUGGAAACAUUUUUGUUGUUUGAAUCUACCAAUGUAUUCUCACAUUGUUAGGGAGUUUUAUGCAAAUCUGAGAGGAGGAUCAAGUGAGAUUGUGUCAUUAGUCAAAGGAGUGCAAUUUGAGCUCUCAAAUGAUAGAUUGGCCUAGAUCUUUAGUUUGCCUAAGCAUUGGACUGUAUCGGAUAGGUUGGCUGACG